AUCAUGACAGUUUUAUUUGUAAUAUCCCCAAAUGCAAGCAAUCCAAAUGCUGAACAGGUAAACAGACAAGCAGAGUGUAGAAUAUAGAAUAUACAAUGGAAUAAACAAUUAUGAACUAGGUAUACCUGCAACGAUAUAAAUGAAUCUCAGAAUAACUAUUGAGUAGGGGAAGCCAGACUGAAGGAAAGAACGGAUGUUCCUUUUUAUGGCCGCUUAGCAUUCCAUGGUGUAUAGGUACCACAUUUUCUUCAUCCAAUCCACUGCUGAUGGGCAUCUAGGUUGAUUCCAUGUCUUUGCUAUUGUAAACAACGCUUUGAUGAACAUAUGGGUGCACGUGCCUUUUUGAUAAAAUGACUUACUUGCCUUUGGGUAUAUACCUAGUAAUGGAUUGCUGGGUCGAAUAGCAGUUCUAAGUGCUUUCAGAAAUCUCCAAACUGCCUUCCACAGUGGCUGAACUAGUUUUUAUUCCCAGCAAGUGUAUAAGGGUUCCCUCUUCCCCGCAGCCUCACAAGCAUUGGUUGUUUAUUGACUUUUUCAUAAUCGCCAUUCUGACCGGUGUGAGACGUUAUCUCAUUGUGGUCAUGUCCUUCGCAGCAACAUGGAUGGCAGCCAUUGUCCUAAGGAAUUAACCCAAGAAUGGGAAACCAAAUAACGCAUGUUCUCACUUAUAAGUGGGACCUAAACAUUGAAUACACAUAGACAUAAAGAUGGGAGCAGCAGACACUGGGGACGACUAGGGAGGGAGGGAGGCAGGGAGGGAGUGGAACAGAACGUGGGCUGAAAAACUACUACUCACUACCUGGGUGACUGGAUCAUCUGUACCCCAACCUUCAGCACCCUGCAAUAUACUCAUGAAACAAACCUGCACAUGUACCCUUUAAUCUAAAAUAAAAGUUGAAAUUGUUUUUUUAAAAAAGAGCACAUAGUAUAUUAUUCCAUUUACAUAAAAUUUUAGAAAACACAAAUGAAUGUGUUGACAAAUCAGUGGUUGCCUGGAGAAGGGGGAGUGCAGAGAGGUACAUGGGGAAUAAAUUAUAAAGGGACUGGAGGAGAUGUUUGGAGGUGGUGAAUGUGUUCACUAUGUUGAUUGCGGUGAUGAUUUCAUGGACGUACACAUCUGUAGAAACGUUGGUGUGUACAUAUGUUGUAUUCUCAAAUUGUCCACUCUGAGUACGAGCAGUGGGGAUUAAGAGGAAAAUAAUAGUAGAGAACAAAAUCAGAGCUUGGCAUGGCUCUCUGCUGGCACCGUGCAGGGUGUGAUUACAUCAGAUCUGUGCAACUCAGAUCUUGGGGAGGGGUUGGGGGGUGGAAGGUGGAGGGAGGAAGGGAGAGAAAACAGAGGGCGGGAAGAAGGGAAGGAAGUGAAGAAGGGAAUGAGGGACGGAAAGAGAGAGACAGCGAAGAGAGGAGAAAGGCCAGUGAAGGAGUGUGGCUCCGAUAGGAUUGACAACUACUACCUUAGAUGAUGAAUCAAGCUCAGAAGGGAUCCCUCUGGAUUUCCCUGCGGUGAAGAAACCGAGGCAAUGAACAAAGUAAUAUACCCAAGAUCACAUUGCCAGUGAAUGGGAGAGCUGACGUUUCAAUCUACACAGAACCUGUGCUCUUAGCUAUCUAACCGCUUUACUUGGAAGUGAUGUGAGAUUAAAAAAAGAAGAAAAACAAAAUAUUUUCUUAUGCUUUCAAAAAGUUCAAAAUUAAUAAGGGAACCGUUUCUCCAUGGGGACAGGAGCUUCUGGAAGGCUGGACCCAAUCAUUACAGGCUCAGUCCAGGGCCUUUCCUUCACACCAACUACUGCAGGUACAAACUGUCUAACUGAUCCAGUUCUUAUUUAACUUGUCUCAGUUACUUCGACUUUAUCACUCACUCAGAGAUAAGACAACUGUCAGUCCUCUGAGCCUAAGCUAAGCCAUCAUAUCCCCUGUGACCUGCACAUACACAUCCAGAUGGCCUGUUCCUGCCUUAACUGAUGACAUUAUCUUGUGAAAUUCCUUCUCCUGGCUCAUUCUGGCUCAAAAGCUCCCCUACUGAGCACCUUGUGACCCCCACUCCUGCCCACCAGAGAACAAACCCCCUUUUUCCUUUACCUACCCAAAUCCUAUAAAACGGCCCCACCCCUAUCUCCCUUCACUGACUCUCUAUUCGGACUCA
rnacentral:lncRNA from 1 species